rnacentral:tRNA from 1 species
GGUUGUAGCUCAGUGGUAGAGUGCUUGCCUAGCAUGUGUGAGGCACUGGAUUCGAUUCUCAGCACCA